rnacentral:lncRNA from 1 species
UCUCCAUACUUCAAAACGCUCUUCAUGAAUCUAUAGCACUUGUAAUCAAUCAAAUUCAUUGUAUUCUAACAUAUUCUAACCCCAAACAACACUAGAUAAGUCAUUUAGUGGUUCAACGCAAUGUUUCCGAGUUCUUAGCCCAUUUGGGACCCAAUUUCAACAAGUUUUUCUACACACUUCUAAGCAGUCUUCUUGAAUCUCUUGCACUUGUAGUCAAUCAUAUUCAUUGUAUUCUAACAUAUUCUAACCCCAAAAAACACUAGAUAAGUCAUUUAGUGG